ACAAGGUCAAAGGAACAAGAAAACCACAGACAUAUAACACUGUGUUUUCCUGGUGAUUUAUACACACUUGACAUCAAGUAAAGCAUAAAAGCAGAGCUCUUUCUGGAACACCACAAAAUCUUUCUUGAGAUUCCGAAGGCAGUGAUCUGAAAACCAAGUUCAUGGCAAUGCUGAGAAGUCUGCUGCUUCUGUUCAUCGUGUUCUCCACGGGAAAUGCAGCUGGUAAACCAGAUAUAGGUAUACUAUGCCAGGAUGGAUGGUCAAAUUUUAGAGCCCGAUGCUACAAAUUCUUCUCUCAGUUGGCUACCUGGAGUGAAGCAGCGGUAAAGUUUU